rnacentral:sRNA from 1 species
UUCCCGCACAAAACGGGUGGAGCCCGAAG